rnacentral:tRNA from 1 species
GCUGGCAUAGCUCAAUGGUAGAGCAGCUGACUUGUAAUCAGCAGGUUGUAGGUUCGAGUCCUAUUGCCAGCU